rnacentral:rRNA from 1 species
UACAGAGGGUGCAAGCGUUAAUCGGAAUUACUGGGCGUAAAGCGUGCGUAGUCGGUUAUCUAAGUCGGGUGUGAAAUCCCCGGGCUCAACCCGGGAAUUGCAUUCGAUACUGGAUAGCUAGAGUUCGGCAGAGGGAAGCGGAAUUUCGGGUGUAGCGGUGAAAUGCGUAGAUAUCCGAAGGAACAUCAGUGGCGAAAGCGGCUUCCUGGACCAGAACUGACGAUCAGGCACGAAAGCGUGGGGAGCAAACAGG